CCCUUAGAGUUUGAUCCUGGCUCAGAUUGAACGCUGGCGGCAGGCCUAACACAUGCAAGUCGAGCGGUAGCGCAGAGAGCUUGCUCUCGGGUGACGAGCGGCGGACGGGUGAGUAAUGUCUGGGAAACUGCCUGAUGGAGGGGGAUAACUACUGGAAACGGUAGCUAAUACCGCAUAACGUCGCAAGACCAAAGUGGGGGACCUUCGGGCCUCAUGCCAUCAGAUGUGCCCAGAUGGGAUUAGCUAGUAGGUGGGGUAAUGGCUCACCUAGGCGACGAUCCCUAGCUGGUCUGAGAGGAUGACCAGCCACACUGGAACUGAGACACGGUCCAGACUCCUACGGGAGGCAGCAGUGGGGAAUAUUGCACAAUGGGCGCAAGCCUGAUGCAGCCAUGCCGCGUGUGUGAAGAAGGCCUUCGGGUUGUAAAGCACUUUCAGCGGGGAGGAAGGCGUUAAGGUUAAUAACCUUGGCGAUUGACGUUACCCGCAGAAGAAGCACCGGCUACUCGUG
rnacentral:rRNA from 1 species